rnacentral:rRNA from 1 species
AGGAUAGGUGGGAGGCUUUGAAGUGUGGACGCCAGUCUGCAUGGAGCCGACCUUGAAAUACCACCCUUUAAUGUUUGAUGUUCUAACGUGGACCCGUGAUCCGGGUUGCGGACAGUGUCUGGUGGGUAGUUUGACUGGGGCGGUCUCCUCCUAAAGAGUAACGGAGGAGCACGAAGGUUGGCUAAUCCUGGUCGGACAUCAGGAGGUUAGUGCAAUGGCAUAAGCCAGCUUGACUGCGAGCGUGACGGCGCGAGCAGGUGCGAAAGCAGGUCAUAGUGAUCCGGUGGUUCUGAAUGGAAGGGCCAUCGCUCAACGGAUAAAAGGUACUCCGGGGAUAACAGGCUGAUACCGCCCAAGAGUUCAUAUCGACGGCGGUGUUUGGCACCUCGAUGUCGGCUCAUCACAUCCUGGGGCUGAAGUAGGUCCCAAGGGUAUGGCUGUUCGCCAUUUAAAGUGGUACGCGAGCUGGGUUUAGAACGUCGUGAGACAGUUCGGUCCCUAUCUGCCGUGGGCGCUGGAGAACUGAGGGGGGCUGCUCCUAGUACGAGAGGACCGGAGUGGACGCAUCACUGGUGUUCGGGUUGUCAUGCCAAUGGCACUGCCCGGUAGCUAAAUGCGGAAGAGAUAAGUGCUGAAAGCAUCUAAGCACGAAACUUGCCCCGAGAUGAGUUCUCCCUGACCCUUUAAGGGUCCUGAAGGAACGUUGAAGACGACGACGUUGAUAGGCCGGGUGUGUAAGCGCAGCGAUGCGUUGAGCUAACCGGUACUAAUGAACCGUGAGGCUUAACCUU